rnacentral:rRNA from 2 species
UUUUUAUGGAGAGUUUGAUCCUGGCUCAGGAUGAACGCUGGCGGCGUGCCUAAUACAUGCAAGUCGAGCGAACAGACGAGGAGCUUGCUCCUCUGACGUUAGCGGCGGACGGGUGAGUAACACGUGGAUAACCUACCUAUAAGACUGGGAUAACUUCGGGAAACCGGAGCUAAUACCGGAUAAUAUAUUGAACCGCAUGGUUCAAUAGUGAAAGACGGUUUUGCUGUCACUUAUAGAUGGAUCCGCGCCGCAUUAGCUAGUUGGUAAGGUAACGGCUUACCAAGGCAACGAU